UACAGGGGGGGCAAGCGUUGUUCGGAAUUACUGGGCGUAAAGGGUCUGUAGGUGGCCAACUAAGUCAGACGUGAAAUCCCUCAGCUUAACUGGGGAACUGCGUCUGAUACUGGAUGGCUCGAGUGUGGGAGAGGAAUGCGGAAUUCCAGGUGUAGCGGUGAAAUGCGUAGAUAUCGAGAGGAACACCUGCGGCGAAGGCGGGUUGCUGGGCUGACACUGACGCUGAGGCGCGAAAGCCAGGGGAGCGAACGGG
rnacentral:rRNA from 1 species